rnacentral:rRNA from 1 species
UACGAAGGGGCUAGCGUUGCUCGGAAUCACUGGGCGUAAAGGGUGCGUAGGCGGGUCUUUAAGUCAGGGGUGAAAUCCUGGAGCUCAACUCCAGAACUGCCUUUGAUACUGAAGAUCUUGAGUCCGGGAGAGGUGAGUGGAACUGCGAGUGUAGAGGUGAAAUUCGUAGAUAUUCGCAAGAACACCAGUGGCGAAGGCGGCUCACUGGCCCGGUACUGACGCUGAGGCACGAAGCGUGGGGAG